GGUUCGAUUAUGGCUCAGAUUGAACGCUGGCGGAUGCUUUUACAUGUGCAAGUCGAACGGCAGCAUCGGACUUCGGUCUGGUGGCGAGUGGCGAACGGGUGAGUAAUGUAUCGAACGCUUAUAGUGAUAACUACGCGAAAGCGUAGCUAAUACCGCAUACGCCCUUCGGGGGAAAGCGGGGACCCGGCCUCGCACUAUUAGAGCGGCCGAUAUCGGAUUAGCUAGUUGGUGGGUAACGGCUCACCAAGGCGACGAUCCGCAGCUGGUUUGAGGACGACCAGCCACACUGGGACUGGUAUUACGCCCAGACUCCUACGGGAGGCAGCAGUGGGAAUUUUGACAAUGGGGGGAAAUCCCUGAUCCAGCCAUCCCGCGUGUGCGAUGAAGGCCUUCGGAAAAGGUUGUAAAGCACUUUUGGUGGAAAGAAACGGCACGGGAUAAGAUUCUCGCAACUGACGGCACUGCGUGGUAGUUACACCGGCUAACUACGUGCCAGCAGCUGCGUAUACGUAGGGUGCAAGCGUUAACGGAAUUAUCAAGUAAAGCGUGCGUGGUGCGGUUCGGAAAGAAAAGAUGUGAAAUCCUUGUUUAACUUUGGAACUGCAUUUAACUACCGAGCCGAGUGCGUCAGAGGGGCGUAAUUGCAAAAGUACAGUGAAAUGCGUAGAUAUGCGGGAGGAACACCGAUGGUUGAAGGCAGCCUCCUGGGAUAACACUGACGCUCAUGCACGAAAGCGUGGGGAGCAAACAGGAUUAGAUACCCUGGUAGUCCACGCCCUAAACGAUGUCAACUAGCUGCUGGGGCCUUCGGGCUCGGUAGCGCAGCUAACGCGUGAAGUUAUCCUCGCCUGUAGUACGGUCGCAAGAUUAAAACUCAAAGGAAUUGACGGGGACCCGCACAAGCGGUGGAUGAUGUGGAUUAAUUCGAUGCAACGCGAAAAACCUUACCUACCCUUGAUGUUCGGAAUCCCGAAGAGAUUGGGAGUGUCGUAAGAGAACCGGAACACAGGUGCUGUAUGGCUGCCGUCAGCUCGUGUCGUGAGAUGUUGGGUUAAGUCCGCGAAAACGAAGAAAAACCUGCCGUUAUUGCUACGAAAGCGGGCACCUAAUGAGACCGCCGGUGACAAACCGGAGUGAGCGUGGGAUGACGUCAAGUCCUCAUGGCCCUUGCGGGUAGGGCUUCACACGUCAUACAAUGGUCGGGACAGAGGCCGCCAACCGUGAGGGGGAGCCAAUCCCAGAAACCCGAUCGUAGUCCGGAUCGCAGUCUGCAACCGACUGCGUGAAGUUCGAAUCGCUAGUAAUCGCGGAUCAGCAUGUCGCGGUGAAUACGUUCCCGGUCUUGUACACACCGCCCGUCACACCAUGGGAGGGGUUUCACUAGAAGUAGUUAGCCUAAACUGUAAGGAGGGCGAUUACCACGGUAGGAUUCAUGACUGGGGUGGGGCGUCGUAAUAAGGUAG
rnacentral:rRNA from 1 species